rnacentral:lncRNA from 1 species
ACAGACACAACUAUUAUAUCAAGGUAAAAACAAAAAAUCAACAACACAAUAUUUUUUUCAGUACUUUUUUUACCUACUUGAGCACGUAAAUGAAUGACAGAGUAUAAUGUCAGAAGGACUGUACGCUGGCAGCAUCAAGAAGGUUCACUUCAAUCAGGAUGACAAAGAGAGUGUGGUGGACAUCUACGUGAGUGCAGAAAGCCUGAGAGUGUACGACAACCCCUGGGUGGAGGACACGUCACCUCCUGCAGGGACUCAUCACACCGCGUCUCUGGGCGGUGAAAACUCUGGAAAGAGGAAUCAUGUCAGAGCUGAUUCAAUGUGUCUGGGUGUGAUGUGUUUUCUCCUCCUGGUUGGGAUCAUCUGCCUUGUAGUACAGAUGAAUAAAGACAAAACAAGCUGGAGCAGAGAGAGAGAACAGUUUCUGGAAGAUCUCAAGAUACAAACGGACAAGUUAACAGUCAAUAUCACUGAACUGACCAAAGAAGUACAUUUAUGGAGGGAACUCUGUGGUUCCAAGGUGUCACACACAAUCAAACAAAGUCCGACAGAAAACUCACAACAUGAGACAUGAUGAUCAUUAGUGGGAGAUGACAAAAUGUACCAGAGCUCUGUGAAAAGAGUGUUUUAGUAGUAUGAAUUGCUGUUUGCUUGAUGAUUCCAUGAUAUUUUUUUAGUUCAUUUGUGUGCUUGCUGACUUCUUAUAGUAAAGUAGUCCAAAACAUGUCUAUUAACCAGAUUUGAUGUAUCUGUGUGUCUGUACCUCAAAAUGGCUACAUGUCUUUAAUGUGAACAUAUGUUUAUUACCAAUUUCCUUAGUUUCUUCAUAUACAACUGCAAAC